GACGAACGCUGGCGGCGUGCUUAACACAUGCAAGUCGAACGGAAAGGCCCUGCUUUUGUGGGGUGCUCGAGUGGCGAACGGGUGAGUAACACGUGAGUAACCUGCCCUUGACUUCGGGAUAACUUCAGGAAACUGGGGCUAAUACCUGAUAGGAGCUCCUGCUGCAUGGUGGGGGUUGGAAAGUUUCGGCGGUUGGGGAUGGACUCGCGGCUUAUCAGCUUGUUGGUGGGGUAGUGGCUUACCAAGGCUUUGGCGGGUAGCCGGCCUGAGAGGGUGACCGGCCACAUUGGGACUGAGAUACGGCCCAGACUCCUACGGGAGGCAGCAGUGGGGAAUAUUGCACAAUGGGCGGAAGCCUGAUGCAGCAACGCCGCGUGCGGGAUGACGGCCUUCGGGUUGUAAACCGCUUUCGCCUGUGACGAAGCGUGAGUGACGGUAAUGGGUAAAGAAGCACCGGCUAACUACGUG
rnacentral:rRNA from 1 species